UGGGGACAGGAAGGGGAUCCUGUUUUGUACCCCCGAUGACAAAUUUAGAUUGGUCGUGUCUGUGACUCACCCUCGCAUUUUCCUCGCGCCCGGUCAGAUCUCGUGAGACACUAUAUACAUCGCCAUCUCAUACCCUGAAUUCGGCCGCUGCUGUCACCAUCUCCAUUCGCGAGACUGCAGUUACCAUGACGACUCCAGGACGGCUGUCCUUACCGGCGCUAUUCUUACUGACACUUUCAUCGAUUGCAUACUCGGAUAAUGAAGAACACAAAUCUAUCGACCAAAUCAUAAUGGAAGCAGCUCCAAAAGCGGAAAUGUUCGACGUGCUUCACCUGAGUCCAGAAGGUGACGUCAUGAUGAUGGUGGAGCUGGACAUCAUGAUGAGCCUCAAGCAGUACAUGGAGUUGAAAAGAGUCCCGGAAGUGACGCGCAACAAGCGCAAAGCGCUGAGGGCGACGGACAUGAGAUGGAGAGACUGCACCGUGUACUACGAGUUCAGCAAUGACCUGCAAGGUGACAGAAAUGUGAUACACGAAGCAAUAGCAGAGUGGGAAAAAUACACUUGUUUGGACUUCAAGCAAGCCAACUCCUCCACCACAGAUAAAAUCAUCUUUCAGGACGGCAAUGGGUGCUUCUCUCGGCUUGGAAGAGUAGGAGGGCCGCAAGUUAUCGGACUUGGUAGGGGCUGUUUUCAAAAAGGCGUGGUGGUCCAUGAAAUCGGCCACGCGAUUGGCUGGAUCCACGAGCAGGCGCGACCAGAUCGAGACUCUUACAUCCGGGUCAACUACAACCGCAUUCCACAGCCAUGGCAUCCGCAGUUCGACAAGUUUGAGAGCAGCGUGAUAAACACAUACAACAUAGAAUACGACUAUCGUAGUGUAAUGCACUACAGCGGAAAUGCACUAGCAGAGAGAAGCAUAGAAACGCUGGAUCCGGCUUUUCAAGAUGUCAUCGGCCAACGAAGCGGCCUGAGUUUCCGCGACAUCAAGUUAGCGAACAUCAUGUAUGAGUGUGCUCAGAGAAUGGGCUGUAGAAAUACAGACUGCACCUCAAUCAGUAAAGAGGCAUUCCGGGACAAGAACUGUCGGUGCGUCUGUCCCGGUAACGACACUCACCCAGCUGUGCCGUGCGGGUCGCCGAGUACAACCAAAAAACCUCCAGCAACAACUGCCAGAUUUAUCACAACUACCAAAAUUGCCAAAACUACACUUCGAAACCGGAGCCCAUGGCGUGCACGGACUUGCGACCGGACUGUCAACACCUAGUCACACUGAACGAGUGUCGAAUGAAUCCAUCCCAGAUGCUCAUGUACUGUAAAAAAGCCUGCAACUUUUGUGACAAAGACGACAGCAGCUUGUGUAUGGACUUUGACCCUUCUUGUCCGAUGCUGGCGCAGUCCAACUUCUGCGAGAACUCUAAGUUCGCGUACUUCAUGAGCAUGAAAUGCAAGAAGUCGUGCAAGAUGUGCGCUACAACAGG
rnacentral:misc_RNA from 1 species